rnacentral:lncRNA from 1 species
GCGUUGCCGUGAGCUGUGGUGUAGGUCACAGACGUGGCUCGGAUCCCGAGUUGCUGUGGCCCUGGCAUAGGCUGGUGGUUACAGCUCCGAUUUGACCCCUAGCCUGGGAACCUCCAUAUGCCGCGGGAGCGGCCCAAGAAAUGGCAAAAAGACAAAAAACAAAGAAACAAACAAACAAAAUAAAUAAAUAAAUAAAUUUACUGGAUCUUAAGUGAGAACCAAAGCUGCAAAAAAAAAAUAAAUUUAAAAAUAAAUAAAUAAAUAAAUAAAAAUAACUGAAAAUCCCCCCCCCCAAAAAAUAGCUAUUUUUAAGUACACUUGUACUAUGUGGGAAAGGACUUCCAGAUUGAUAGAUCAGAAUGAGCAAAAAGAAACUGGAAAAUACAGGAUAUAUUGAGAAAUGUUUAGUGAACCUGUACUAAUGGAAUUAACUGGAGAAUAUAGUCUGUUUUUAACGAGAAAAGCCAGGUUAUGGCCAAAAUACUGAGGUGUCUGAGUGCCGUGAUAUUACAUUCAGAUACAUGAGUUGUGUGUGUUAAACUAGCAGGUAGCAUGGGGUGGGGGUGAGAGUUGAGGAUAAUCAAAGGGUUGAAUAGGACCUUCAUUUAUCUGAGUUUUAAAAACUGACUGUAAUGCCAAUGUGAAGUCUGAAUUAGAGGGUAAAAAAUUACAGGAUGAAGAAGAAUUUAGACAUUAAUGCCACAAAUUAGAUAGGAGAUUCUAUACAUAUAUUCUAAAACAAUGGAAUUAAGAAUAGAAAGAGUGGAUAAUGGAGAUAUUACAACAGAAAAAUGAACAAAAGAUUUUGUUUGUGAGAGUAGAGUGAGAGGGAAAGAGAGACAUCUGUAUUGUUUAGCUUAUUUUCACUUAUACUGACACCAACUAAUUUAUAAUUCUACUUCAUUCAGAAAUAGUUUAUGGUAACUCCCUCAAGUUAUAUAGAUAUGCUCUUUUUAUCAAAACAUUUAUGUAAACUGUCCUAAUUGUUUGAAGAGAUACAUUUUUUUCCCCAUUUUUUACCCUUAGGGAAGUAUUUUUGAAAAAUUACAACUAGUCUUUCUCUUCCAUCUUGAGACACAAAUGAGCCUUGCCCUGUUGACUUAUGGUUUGUUAGGGGCUAUAAGGUAACAUAAUGCUUUGCCAAGUUAUAUAUGUAGUACAUAAAAAUGGAACAUUUAAGAGGAUACUUAAAAACUUAUGAAAUAUAACUUAUAGUACAGAAUACUGUAUCAACUCCGAAAUUUUAUGCAUAAAAGUUUAUAACAGCCACCUUCUUAACUAAAACAAUAUUUUAUAUGAGAAACAUGUUUGCUUCAGGCAUAGUAAUUUUACUGCAUAGCAUUAUUAAUUUCUAUUAUCUUAAAUAAGAAAUAUGGUCAAAAUAUCUUAUCAUCACUAACGCCUAAAACACAAACAGACAAGAAUGCUCCACUGUUCACCUAACAACAAGCAAGCCCACUAGGAAAUUUAAUGUUACAAAGAAUGAUCCAUGGUUCUUGAAUAUUAUCGGGUUUUUCUAUGGCUACUAAACUUACUGAAAAUUCUUUGAAAAAAUUCCGAGUUAAAAUCUGCAGCACUAAAGUGGAUGCUGUGGCCUCAAAGGAAUGGUCAUCUAAAGGGUCCAUAAAUCAAAAUGGAAAAGACCAGUACCUCAACACGAUAAAGAAAAGAUCACAAACAUAUGAAAAACAGUUAGCUACACUUAUACAACGCAUGAAAAUUCUAACCAUGAUAAGCAACAGGUUUCUCUGCUACCAAAUGGCAAAGAACAAAAAAUGUAUGAAAAUAUUUUGGUAGGCAAUGGACAUUCUCAUGUACUAGUGGGGAAUGAAAGUUGAUAGCAUGUUUUAUAGGGCAAUUUGGCAAUAUCUAUUAAAUUAAAAAUGUACACAACUCUCUAGGGUAUUUGUCUUAGAAGUACACUCCAAAUAGGGUACCGGGAUGUUUAGUGUAUAAUUACAACAUCAAAUGUUUGGAAACUAUUUACAUGUCCAUUAACUCAGGGACUGUUAAAUAUAUCAUGGUAACUCAUUCAGCAGUGUAAUAACCAGGCAUUAAAAAGGGUGAGGUGACUCUUUAUACACUGAUAUGAAAUAAUUUCUAAAAUAAUUGUUUAAAGAGACAAACAAGGCAUAGAUUUCUGAGUAUAGAAAGCAAACAUUGCUGUGAGAAAUGAAAGGAUAGUUUCGUACAUGUUUGUAUUUAAAUAGAAUAUUUCUAGAUGGAGUCACAAAAAAGCUAGUAAUAGAAAGUAUGUUUCAGAUGGAGAACUGAGUGUCAGCUGAUAGAGAGCAGGGUCUUGAUAUUCAUGGUAUAAGCUUAUGUCCAUCUGAAUACUGUGUCAUGUGCCUGACCUACUUGUUCAAAACACAUGUUAAAUCAUAAUGUUCAUGAAAACAUAAAGGAAUAAAAAAUGAUGCUUUUCUGGCUUUCUUGUAAAUGUAGAUGGCUACAAAUAAAAAAGAUUUUUGAUUGUCAUCAGAUUCUCAAGGGAGUGUCUGUCUCUGUCUCUUUCAAAAGUGUAAAAAUUAUCACUUUUUGUUUUAUUCACACUCUGUGAAUUUAUAUGCCUGUAACUCUUUUCAUACCCUCACACUGAAUCAAGCUUUUUUUAAAAAUGUUUCAGCCAUGUAGCACAGUAUCUGAAUGAAGAUCCUGAGUAAAUGUUUUAGACUGCUGAAUAAUGGACACAGAGAUUCAUCUUCGUAUACAAAGAGAAAGAUGCCCGAUUAUUAGAGUUCACUUCAUUGUGAAAAGGACAACACUGAGACUUGGAUCACAUACAUGAUCUAUUCUGAGUUUUAUGAAAGAAGAGUUUUGUAUUUCAAAUAAUUACUACAAUAUAUACAUCUAUAUUUCUAUCCAUGUAUUUUCUUAGAAUCCUUAUAAUUGCGUGGAGAAAUGGGGAUCAGUAAUGGGUAAGUGGCAAUUCAGUAAAAAGUGACUGGAAGCAUUAUUUUAGAUUUUGUAACACCAAUAAUUUUGUAAAUAAAUUGCUAUAAUGAGAAACUCAAAAUAUUAUUUUACAAGUGAGAAUGUUCGAGAAUAGCUUUAAGUGACAAUUUUGUGUAUUUGUUUAAAUGCAUGAUCCUCAAAAGACAUCAGGUAAUUUAUUUAAAAUUUAUACUUAAAAAAAUAGAGAGAGAAAGUCAGCAAAAGGCUUCACAACUUUCACUGUGCUAAGGUAAAAUCAUCCGAAUUUAACUACAAAUUUUCCCUGUAGUAUCUAAAGAAUUUAGCAGCAGCCCACAGAGGCUUAUUCCAGUGCAUCUGGAAAACAGGGGCACUGCUUCUAGAUUUUCCUAACAUUAUUUUAUUUAUUUAUUUAUUUUUUUUCUUUUUCAGCCACCCUUGUAGGCCACGAAUUGAAUCCUAGCCAGAGCGGUAACCUAAGCCACAGCUGCAGCAAUGCUGGUUCCUUAACCCAAAGUGUCAGGCAAGCUAUUGAAACUCUGCCUCCACAGAAACAAACCAGAUUACUAACGCACUGCACCACAGCUGGAAUUCCAAGAUUUUCCUAUCAUUCUUAAUAAAAUUUUGUUGUAUACAAUUCAGAGUUCUAAUCUAACUUUGUAAUGACAUGAUUACUGCUAUAAUUUGGAUAAUGACGUCUCUUUUCAGGCCAGCUAAAUCAGUGCAACACAAAUGCUUCCUAGGUUACCUGUUUGGUUGGGGUUUUGCUUAUUAGUAUAUGAUAUGUAUUUUUAAAAUUUUUUUAAAUGCACACCUUUUCCAAUAUGUGUCUCCUCCUUUAAGUAUUCAUCCAAAAGAAAAUAUCAUUUUAACACCAAAACUCAUAUUUGAGAAUAUUCUCUAAAGCUGACAUCUAUAAUUUUGAAAAUCACUGAGAUUUAAUUCCAGUGUGAUAAAUGCUCUCAAAGUCUUCUCCUGGCAUAAUGAGAAAUUUUCAUGUUUUGUUAUUAAGAAGCAUAGCUUGUUUAAUUUAUUUAUAAUAAAUAAAAUAAUUCAGUCAUUUGGCAUAUAAGGCAAAUGUCCAGAACAUUCUUGCAAUCAGUCACCAUGCUGCACAGUAGAAAAUUGACAGAACACUAAAAACCAGCUAUAAUGGAAAAAAAAUAAAAAUCAUUAUAAAAAAAGAAAACAAUUCCAAUCAAAAUACUAUAAAAAAAUAAAACAAUAAAGAGUACAUUUAACAACAACAACAAAAAAGAUUUACAGAAGCAAAAAUAAACCUGAAUGUGUGUAAAUAUAUGAUGGUGGAGGGAAUGGCAUUCUGGUUGUGAAUCAUCUCUAACUGCAGUAAUUAUUUAAUCUUAAUCCUUACCAUGCUUUUUUAUAAGUUUUAUAUUCUUUUGGACAUUGCCGAACCACCAACCCAUACUUCAUUCCGUCCUCACUGUGAAACCUGGAAUAUAUACUCUUUGAGGAGACUGGCAGGAGAUAUUGGUUUUAGCAUUCAAGAAAACAUAAAUAUAUGUCUGCUUUUGUGAUUCUCUGAUAUUUACAUUUUGAUGUGUGUUUCUUACUAACAUAUUCAAGAUAUCAAUUCUAGUUAAUUCUUCUUAACAUAUAAUAAUUGAUUUUUAUAUUUUAGGUAGCUUUCUUACAGAAAACAUAUGCUUUG